AAAGGCGUUCAGUUUCGUUCCGUUUGGGUUGGUCUGUUUAGUGCGGCGGCGACAGCGACAGCGGAGGAGAGCGGGGACGGGAGGGGCCAUGGCGGACGCGGCGGCGGACAGGGAGAGGGACAAGGGCAAGGACGACCGCCGCCGCUGGGCGGCUCGCUGCGGUUUCGCCGUCCUCGGCAUCAUGAGCACCCUCCUCGUCUACGGCGUCCUGCAGGAGAAGAUCAUGAGGGUUCCGUACGGAGCGGACAAGGAGUUCUUCAGAUACUCGCUAUUCCUUGUUUUCUGCAACCGUAUCACCACAUCCAUGGUGUCUGCAAUGGUGUUACUGGCAAGUAAGAAAUCCUUGGACCCUGUGGCUCCUCUACACAAAUAUGGCGUUGUCUCCAUAUCAAACAUACUGACCACAACCUGCCAGUAUGAGAUCUGGGGCACAAUAAUAAUGAGAAAGAAGUAUGGUGGAAAAGAUUACUUCUUUGCUGUCAUCGUGACUCUGGGCUGCGCAUUGUUCAUUCUAUAUCCGGCAAUGAUGGAUGUGAGCCCAUUUAAUAAAGGCAGAGAAAGCACUAUUUGGGGUGUUUCACUCAUGUUUGGUUAUCUUGGUUUUGAUGGGUUCACAAGCACGUUCCAAGAUAAACUCUUCAAAGGGUAUGACAUGGAAAUACACAACCAAAUAUUCUACACGACAGUGUGCUCUUGUCUUCUUAGUUUAAGUGGGCUGAUUCUCCAGAAUCAUCUGAUUCCAGCUGUGGAUUUUAUGUUUCAUCACCCAGAUUGCUUCUCUGAUGUUCUAAUCCUGUCCAGCGUUGCAACAGCUAGUCAGUUCUUUAUAUCCUACACCAUUCGAACAUUUGGGGCUCUCACAUUUGCUACCAUAAUGACAACUAGACAGCUGGUAAGUAUAUUGCUGUCCUGCAUCUGGUUUGCACAUCCUCUCAGCUGGAUGCAGUGGGUUGGCGCAGCCAUUGUUUUCGGAGCUAUAUACGCAAAGAGCUUCUUGAGGAGUAAACCGCAGAAGACAGCAGUGGCAAGCCUGCCGCAUGGCUCUAGCCCGAACCCUGCUAACAGUAGUUGACGAUUGAUGACAUGAUAACAUUAGGAAACAAUGGACUUGUUGCGGUACCGGGACGAAGAUCAAUGGCGCCAUAGCGCCAUGGUGAGGUAACUGGACAAAUGGGUUCCAGAUGUAGCUGUGUAAACUGCUCCUGACCUGGAGGUGAUGGAGGUGAUCUCCCUUUUUAGUGGAAAAAAACCAAGGUAGUCCUGAUGUUAGUUUAGUAUCCACUAUCCAGAGACCAAUUUUUCAGCCAUCCCAGGCUGUGCUAUGUUUUUUUUCUCGAACUCGCAAGAGAAUUAAGUGUCAAAAUAAUAAG